GCGUCUAUAUGAAACUGCCUUCUAAGCAGUGGGCCGGGGGUUCAAGUCCCUCCAGGCGCG
rnacentral:tRNA from 1 species